rnacentral:lncRNA from 1 species
GCAGCCACACCAAAUAUAGGAGGGAUUGGAAAAAAAUAUUUUUUAAACUUCUUUUUCAUUUCAGUAAUUGCAAUUUCAUAAAUUUCCCCUCCCUCGUAUCAUCUAAAUCUACCGGAGCUUGGGUUUCGUCAUCAUCAUCAACCUCAUAUCCCUCUAAGAUAGGUGCAUUAGGAUAAAGAAUAUUCAUAAUAUCAUCGUCUAUUCUAUCAC